GAUCAUGGCUCAGAUUGAACGCUGGCGGCAUGCUUUACACAUGCAAGUCGAACGGUAACAGGCCGCAAGGUGCUGACGAGUGGCGAACGGGUGAGUAAUGCAUCGGAACGUGCCCAGUCGUGGGGAUAACGUAGCGAAAGUUACGCUAAUACCGCAUACGUCCUGAGGGAGAAAGCGGGGGACCGAAAGGCCUCGCGCGAUUGGAGCGGCCGAUGUCGGAUUAGCUAGUUGGUAGGGUAAAGGCCUACCAAGGCGACGAUCAGUAGGGGAUGUGAGAGCAUGAUCCCCCACACGGGUACUGAGACACGGACCCGACUCCUACGGGAGGCAGCAGUAAGGAAUAUUGGACAAUGGUCGGAAGACUGAUCCAGCCAUGCCGCGUGAAGGAUGAAGGCGCUCAGCGUUGUAAACUUCUUUUGUACGGGAACAAAAUGCGACCUGCGGGUUGUACUGAGGGUACCGUAAGAAUAAGCACCGGCUAACUCCGUG
rnacentral:rRNA from 1 species